rnacentral:rRNA from 1 species
UGAGGAAUAUUGGUCAAUGGACGAGAGUCUGAACCAGCCAAGUAGCGUGAAGGAUGACUGCCCUAUGGGUUGUAAACUUCUUUUAUACGGGAAUAAAGUUAGCCACGUGUGGCUUUUUGUAUGUACCGUAUGAAUAAGGAUCGGCUAACUCCGUGCCAGCAGCCGCGGUAAUACGGAGGAUCCGAGCGUUAUCCGGAUUUAUUGGGUUUAAAGGGAGCAUAGGCGGGUUGUUAAGUCAGUUGUGAAAGUUUGCGGCUCAACCGUAAAAUUGCAGUUGAUACUGGCGACCUUGAGUGCAACAGAGGUAGGCGGAAUUCGUGGUGUAGCGGUGAAAUGCUUAGAUAUCACGAAGAACUCCGAUUGCGAAGGCAGCUUACUGGAUUGUAACUGACGCUGAUGCUCGAAAGUGUGGGUAUCAAACAGGAUUAGAUACCCUGGUAGUCCACACAGUAAACGAUGAAUACUCGCUGUUGGCGAUAUACGGUCAGCGGCCAAGCGAAAGCAUUAAGUAUUCCACCUGGGGAGUACGCCGGCAACGGUGAAACUCAAAGGAAUUGACGGGGGCCCGCACAAGCGGAGGAACAUGUGGUUUAAUUCGAUGAUACGCGAGGAACCUUACCCGGGCUUAAAUUGCAACUGACUGAACCGGAAACGGUUCUUUCUUCGGACAGUUGUGAAGGUGCUGCAUGGUUGUCGUCAGCUCGUGCCGUGAGGUGUCGGCUUAAGUGCCAUAACGAGCGCAACCCUUAUCGAUAGUUACUAGCAGGUCAUGCUGAGGACUCUAUUGAGACUGCCGUCGUAAGAUGUGAGGAAGGUGGGGAUGACGUCAAAUCAGCACGGCCCUUACGUCCGGGGCUACACACGUGUUACAAUGGGGGGUACAGAAGGCAGCUACACGGCGACGUGGUGCUAAUCCCGAAAGCCUCUCUCAGUUCGGAUUGGAGUCUGCAACCCGACUCCAUGAAGCUGGAUUCGCUAGUAAUCGCGCAUCAGCCACGGCGCGGUGAAUACGUUCCC